CCACACCACCACUGCAGCUGAGGUUGUGCCUGGAGCAGUUUUGGGGUGAUAAACUUGUUCUGUGGCAGCUCUGAGGCCUCCAGAGGAGCUCCAGGAUUGUCAUCAUGGAGUGACAGGAUGAGAGGAAACGGCCUCAGGCAUCCUCAAGAAAAUCUUUCUAAAGAAACACCUGUUGAAAAACCACAAACCCCAUUUCCCUCCCUCCUCCUCCUUUUGACUGGAAGUGAGCAAGAGGAGUUAAUUUAAAGGCAAGGGCCAAGAAUAGCGACUGUAAAUAUUGCCAUGAGUCCUUGUUGGCAUUUGUGUUUGAGUUCUGCACAUCUCCAUCACCUCCCCUUGCUCCCAUGCUUCUCCUGCACAGCUCAUGCCAGAAGUGUGAGACACCUUGGGAGUUUCUAAGGUCCAAACCAUCCCCCG